rnacentral:rRNA from 1 species
UUUUGGGCAAUGGGCGAAAGCCUGACCCAGCAACGCCGCGUGAGGGAUGAAGUAUUUCGGUAUGUAAACCUCGAAAGAAUGGGAAGAAUAAAUGACGGUACCAUUUAUAAGCUCCGGCUAACUACGUGCCAGCAGCCGCGGUAAUACGUAGGGAGCAAGCGUUGUUCGGAUUUACUGGGCGUAAAGGGCGCGUAGGCGGCGCGGUAAGUCACUUGUGAAAUCUCUGAGCUUAACUCAGAACGGCCAAGUGAUACUGCUGUGCUAGAGUGCGGAAGAGGCUACCGCAAUUCUUGGUGUAGCGGUGAAAUGCGUAGAUAUCAAGAGGAACACCUGAGGCGAAGGCGGGUUGCUGGGCCGACACUGACGCUGAUGCGCGAAAGCCAGGGGAGCAAACG